CACUGAUGAAGUCAGCGAGUUUUUCAACCUUGGCCGGAAGGCCUGGGUAAUCUUGUGAAACUUCAUCGUGCUGGGGAUAGAGCAUUGCAACUAUUGUUCUUCAACGAGGAAUCCCUAGUAAGCGCGAGUCAUUAGCUCGCGUUGAUUACGUCCCUGCCCUUUGUACACACCGCCCGUCGCUACUACCGAUUGAAUGGCUUAGUGAGACUUUCGGAUGUGUUUGGAGCCGCUGGCAACAGUGACACCUUGCGCAGAAGUUAUUCAAACUUGGUCAUUUAGAGGAAGUAAAAGUCGUAACAAGGUUUCCGUAGGUGAACCUGCGGAAGGAUCAUUA
rnacentral:rRNA from 1 species